rnacentral:rRNA from 1 species
AUUGAACGCUGGCGGUAGGCCUAACACAUGCAAGUCGAACGCGAAAGUCCUUCGGGAUGAGUAGAGUGGCGGACGGGUGAGUAACGCGUAGGAGUCUAUCCUGUAGUGGGGGAUAACGUUUCGAAAGGAACGCUAAUACCGCAUACGCCCCAAGGGGGAAAGCGGGGGAUCUUCGGACCUCGUGCUAUAGGAGGAGCCUGCGUCGGAUUAGCUAGUUGGUGAGGUAAAGGCUCACCAAGGCGACGAUCCGUAGCUGGUCUGAGAGGAUGAUCAGCCACACCGGAACUGAGACACGGUCCGGACUCCUACGGGAGGCAGCAGUGGGGAAUAUUGCGCAAUGGGCGAAAGCCUGACGCAGCCAUACCGCGUGUGUGAAGAAGGCCUUCGGGUUGUAAAGCACUUUCAGUGGGGAGGAAAAGCUGGUGGCUAAUAUCCAUCGGCCGUGACGCUACCCACAGAAGAAGCACCGGCUAAUUCCGUGCCAGCAGCCGCGGUAA